rnacentral:rRNA from 1 species
CAGGCGCGAAAACUUUACAAUGCGGGAAACCGCGAUAAGGGGACACUGAGUGCCAGCACCAUGUGUUGGCUGUCCGCAUGUAUAAAUCACAUGUGUCAGCAAGGGCCGGGCAAGACCGGUGCCAGCCGCCGCGGUAACACCGGCGGCCCGAGUGGUGGCCAUUAUUAUUGGGUCUAAAGGGUCCGUAGCCGGUUUGAUCAGUCUUCCGGGAAAUCUGACAGCUCAACUGUUAGGCUUCUGGGGGAUACUGUCAGACUUGGAACCGGGAGAGGUAAGAGGUACUACAGGGGUAGGAGUGAAAUCUUGUAAUCCUUGUGGGACCACCAGUGGCGAAGGCGUCUUACCAGAACGGGUUCGACGGUGAGGGACGAAAGCUGGGGGCACGAACCGGAUUAGAUACCCGGGUAGUCCCAGCCGUAAACGAUGCUCGCUAGGUGUCUGGGAUGGUGCGACCGUUUCAGGUGCCGCAGGAAGCCGGAAGCGAGCC